rfam:Picea glauca, whole genome shotgun sequence.
ACAUGCCUAUAACAUAGCGUUAAUGCAUUGGAUCCUAUUAGAACUUUGUAGUUAAGCGCACUUGGGCUAGAGUAGUACUGGGAUGGGUGACCACCCACGAAGUCCUAGUAUUUUACAUGCU